rnacentral:rRNA from 1 species
ACACCGCCCGUCACACCAUGGGAGUGGGUUGUACCAGAAGUAGAUAGCUUAACCUUUUGGAGGGCGUUUACCACGGUAUGAUUCAUGACUGGGGUGAAGUCGUAACAAGGUAACCGUAGGGGAACCUGCGGUUGGAUCACCUCCUUACUAAAGA